rnacentral:rRNA from 1 species
AGUCGAGGGGCAGCAUCAUCAAAGCUUGCUUUGAUGGAUGGCGACCGGCGCACGGGUGAGUAACACGUAUCCAACCUGCCGACAACACUGGGAUAGCCUUUCGAAAGAAAGAUUAAUACCGGAUGGCAUAAUUAUUCCGCAUGGGAUAAUUAUUAAAGAAUUUCGGUUGUCGAUGGGGAUGCGUUCCAUUAGGCAGUUGGCGGGGUAACGGCCCACCAAACCUACGAUGGAUAGGGGUUCUGAGAGGAAGGUCCCCCACAUUGGAACUGAGACACGGUCCAAACUCCUACGGGAGGCAGCAGUGAGGAAUAUUGGUCAAUGGACGAGAGUCUGAACCAGCCAAGUAGCGUGAAGGAUGACUGCCCUAUGGGUUGUAAACUUCUUUUAUACGGGAAUAAAGUUAGCCACGUGUGGCUUUUUGUAUGUACCGUAUGAAUAAGGAUCGGCUAACUCCGUGCCAGCAGCCGCGGUAAUACGGAGGAUCCGAGCGUUAUCCGGAUUUAUUGGGUUUAAAGGGAGCGUAGGCGGGUUGUUAAGUCAGUUGUGAAAGUUUGCGGCUCAACCGUAAAAUUGCAGUUGAUACUGGCGACCUUGAGUGCAACAGAGGUAGGCGGAAUUCGUGGUGUAGCGGUGAAAUGCUUAGAUAUCACGAAGAACUCCGAUUGCGAAGGCAGCUUACUGGAUUGUAACUGACGCUGAUGCUCGAAAGUGUGGGUAUCAAACAGGAUUAGAUACCCUGGUAGUCCACACAGUAAACGAUGAAUACUCGCUGUUGGCGAUAUACGGUCA